rnacentral:rRNA from 1 species
GGGGAAUUUUGGACAAUGGGGGAAACCCUGAUCCAGCCAUCCCGCGUGUGCGAUGAAGGCCUUCGGGUUGUAAAGCACUUUUGGCAGGGAAGAAACGGAUUUGGCUAAUAUCCAGAUCUAAUGACGGUACCUGCAGAAUAAGCACCGGCUAACUACGUGCCAGCAGCCGCGGUAAUACGUAGGGUGCAAGCGUUAAUCGGAAUUACUGGGCGUAAAGCGUGCGCAGGCGGUUUGACAAGAAGGAUGUGAAAUCCCCGGGCUUAACCUGGGAAUGGCAUUCUUAACUGUCAGGCUAGAGUAUGUCAGAGGGGGGUAGAAUUCCACGUGUAGCAGUGAAAUGCGUAGAGAUGUGGAGGAAUACCGAUGGCGAAGGCAGCCCCCUGGGAUAAUACUGACGCUCAUGCACGAAAGCGUGGGGAGCAAAC